rnacentral:rRNA from 1 species
GAUGAACGCUGGCGGCGUGCCUAAUACAUGCCAGUCGAGCGCUGAGGCUCGUUACUUGUACCAAAUGCAUGAGCAGCGCACGGGUGAGUCACGCGUGGGGAAUCUGCCUUUGAGCGGGGGACAACUUGGGGAAACGAAUGCUAAUACGGCAUAAAAACUUUAAGCACACGUUUUAAGUAUGAAAGAUGCAAUUGCAUUACUCAAGGAUGAUCCCGCGUUGUAUUGGCUGGUUGGGGCGGUAAAGGCGUACCAAGGCGACGAUACAUAGCCGACCUGAGAGGGGGAUCGGCCACAUUGGAACUGAGACAGGGCCCUAAGGCCUACGGGAGGCACCAGUAUGGAAUCUUCGGCAAUGGACGAAAGUCUGACAGAGCAACGCCGCGUGAGUGACAAAGGUUUUCGGUUCGUAAAACCCUGUUGCGAGUGAAGAACGUCGUUGGGAGUGGACAGAUCAUCAAUGACGGGAACUUACCAAGAAAGGGAGGCUUACUUAGUG